CGGCGGACGGGUGAGUAACACGUGGAUAACCUACCUAUAAGACUGGGAUAACUUCGGGAAACCGGAGCUAAUACCGGAUAAUAUAUUGAACCGCAUUGUUCAAUAGUGAAAGACGGUUUUGCUGUCACUUAUAGAUGGAUCCGCGCCGCAUUAGCUGGUUGGUAAGGUAACGGCUUACCAAGGCAACGAUGCCUAGCCGACCUGAGAGGGUGAUCGGCCACACUGGAACUGAGACACGGUCCAGACUCCUACGGGAGGCAGCAGGG
rnacentral:rRNA from 1 species